rnacentral:rRNA from 1 species
CCUACGGGUGACAGCAGUGGGGGAUCUUGCACAAUGGGGGGAACCCUGAUGCAGCGACGCCGCGUGGGUGAAGAAGCGCCUCGGCGCGUAAAGCCCUGUCAGCAGUGAAGAAAAUGACGGUACCUGACGAAGAAGCCUCGGCUAACUACGUGCCAGCAGCCGCGGGAAUACGUAGGGGGAAAGCGGGAGCCGGACUUACUGGGUGUAAAGGGGGCGCAGACGGCGAUGCAAGCCAGGAGUGAAAGCCCGGGGCCCAACCCCGGGACUGCUCUUGGAACUGCGUGGCUGGAGUGCAGGAGGGGCAGGCGGAAUUCCAGGUGUAGCGGUGAAAUGCGUAGAUAUCAGGAGGAACACCGGUGGCGAAGGCGGCCUGCUGGACUGCAACUGACGUUGAGGCCCGAAAGCGUGGGGAGCAAACAGGAUUAGAUACCCCUGUAGUC